UGAGUGGCGGACGGGUGAGUAACGCGUGGGUAACCUGCCUCAUACAGGGGGAUAACAGUUAGAAAUGACUGCUAAUACCGCAUAAGCGCACAAAACCGCAUGGUUUGGUGUGAAAAACUGAGGUGGUAUGAGAUGGACCCGCGUCUGAUUAGCUAGUUGGAGAGGUAACGGCUCACCAAGGCAACGAUCAGUAGCCGACCUGAGAGGGUGACCGGCCACAUUGGGACUGAGACACGGCCCAAACUCCUACGGGAGGCAGCAGUGGGGAAUAUUGCACAAUGGGGGAAACCCUGAUGCAGCAACGCCGCGUGGGUGAAGAAGUAUUUCGGUAUGUAAAGCCCUAUCAGCAGGGAAGAAGAGAGACGGUACCUGACUAAGAAGCCCCGGCUAACUACGUGCCAGCAGCCGCGGUAAUACGUAGGGGGCAAGCGUUAUCCGGAUUUACUGGGUGUAAAGGGAGCGUAGACGGCUUGAUAAGUCUGAAGUGAAAGGCCAAGGCUUAACCAUGGAACUGCUUUGGAAACUAUGAGGCUAGAGUGCUGGAGAGGUAAGCGGAAUUCCUAGUGUAGCGGUGAAAUGCGUAGAUAUUAGGAGGAACACCAGUGGCGAAGGCGGCUUACUGGACAGAAACUGACGUUGAGGCUCGAAAGCGUGGGGAGCAAACAGGAUUAGAUACCCUGGUAGUCCACGCGGUAAACGAUGAAUGCUAGGUGUUGGUGGGCAAAGCCCAUCGGUGC
rnacentral:rRNA from 1 species